rnacentral:tRNA from 2 species
GGGGGUGUAGCUCUGUGGAAGAGCACUUGACUGCAGCUCAAGAGGUCCCAGGUUCAAAUCCUGGUUCACCCU